rnacentral:tmRNA from 1 species
GGGGGCGAUUUGGUUUCGACCGGGUAAAUGACGUGCUUUGCUGCGUGUCGUGGUUGAUCAGAUGGCCACGUAAAAAUCUGAUCACACUUUAACUGCUGAACCGCAGUUGACCAUGGCUGCCUAGAGAUAGGCAACCCCAGCACCGGGAGCUUUGCCUGGGAGCUUUCGGUCUGGUCGCCAAGUCAGGCUCGCUGUCGCCAGAGGUCGUUCCCCUCACCUGAGGGGGUCGGCCGCACCGAAGGCGGCGAUGGCUAAAUCUACGAUCGGAUAGCUCUGCCGCAACCCUGCUCGCCGGGGGUCGGCCGAGCGAACGCGGCGGGCGAGGUCGCAAGGCUUCGGCCCGUCAACCAUCGACGAGAUACACACGUAGACGCGGGUACUGAAGUACCUCGGGACCCGGGUUCAAUUCCCGGCGCCUCCACAA